rnacentral:rRNA from 1 species
UACGUAGGUGGCGAGCGUUGUCCGGAGUUACUGGGCGUAAAGGGCGCGUCGGCGGCUAAUUAAGUGAGGUGUGAAAUCCCUGGGCUCAACCCAGGAACUGCACUUCAAACUGGGUAGCUAGAGUGCAGGAGAGGAAAGCGGAAUUCCCGGUGUAACGGUGAAAUGCGUAGAGAUCGGGAGGAACGCCGAUGGCGAAGGCAGCUUUCUGGACUGUAACUGACGCUGAGGCGCGAAAGCGUGGGGAGCAAACAGG